rnacentral:tRNA from 1 species
UGUCCAGGGAUGGGAAACGAACCCACAAUGUUCCGCUUACCGGGCAGAUGCCAUGUCCACUAGGCUACCCUGUAC